ACGGCGGCAUUUGUAAAAAAAAAAAUGGGAAAACCUUAAACAAAAAUACAAAGAUCUGAAAUGUCCGCAGACAGGGGUGAGCACUGAGGAUGGAGGGGCCACAGCAGCGUCCUGGAAGUGGUACACUGCCAUGUAUGAGGCAAUUGGGGGCAGACCCUCCAUCUCUCCUCCUGCCCUCGUUGCCUCAUGUGGGCCGGAUGUUGCUGUGGCCUCUUCACCCUCUUCAUCCUCAGUGAGGCCAGAGCCAGCAAGAGCCAGGAAAAGGGUGAAAGAUCUGGAGGACCUGAUCCAGGAGAUGGAGGAGAGGGAAGAGGAGAGAGAGAGGAAAGCAGCUGAGAGGGAGGAGAGACUGUGGAGAGAAAUGGAGGAGAAGGAGGAUAGAAGAGAACGGGAGAGACGAGAGAAAGACGAAAGGCAAGAAAGAGAAGGACAAUGACCCUGGGCCAGCCUGGAGUAAAGAGCCUUGCUGAUCGACCAGCAAUCUUCUGCUAACCAGUUCAGUGGUUUGGCCCACUACACUACAAAGUCGUGCUCAUGGAGAGCAGGCACAGGGAUGUUUGGAGCAGACACUGCAGCAGCCAGAUUGUCCCGUGCAUGUUCUCCCACUCUUGCUUCAAGGUUGUGGGGAUUAGGGAGGCCGUCAUCAAGGUCUUCCUCAUCCUCUGGCUCAACGAUGUCCCCAUUGGCUAGAGCGAGAUUGUGAAGCACAGCGCAGCACGCAACAACCUCAGGCACGAAGGCAGGGCUCACCUCCAAGGCCUUGAAGAAAAUGCAGCGCCAGCGUGUCUUCAGCCUCCCAAACGCUCUCUCCACGAUGUUGCGGGCACGGGAGUGCUUGCUGUUGAACCGAGCCUGCACAGGGUUCUGUACUGGCUCUCUGUA